rnacentral:rRNA from 1 species
GACGAACGCUGGCGGCGUGCCUAAUACAUGCAAGUCGAACGCAGUGGGGACGGGUGAGUAACACGUGGGUAACCUCCCAUCAGAGGGGAUAACACUUGGAAACAGGUGCUAAACCGAUACUGAUGGAUGGACCCGCUGUGCAUUAGCUAGUUGGUGGGGUAACGGCUCACCAAGGCCACGAUGCAUAGGCGACCUGGGGGGGUGAGCGGCCACACUGUGACUGAGACACGGGCCAGACGCCGACGGGAGGCAGCAGUAGGGAAUCUUCGGCAAUGGACGAAAGUCUGACCGAGCAAUGCCGCGUGAGUGAAGAAGGUUUUCGGAUCGUAAAACUCUGUGGUUAGGGAGGCGGUAUCUAACCAGAAAGCCACGGCUAACUCCGUGCCAGCAGCCGCGGUAAUAC